UACGUAGAGUGCAAGCGUUGUCCGGAAUUAUUGGGCGUAAAGAGCUCGUAGGCGGUCUGUCGCGUCGGAUGUGAAAAUCCAGGGCUCAACCCUGGACCUGCAUUCGAUACGGGCAGACUAGAGUUCGGCAGGGGAGACUGGAAUUCCUGGUGUAGCGGUGAAAUGCGCAGAUAUCAGGAGGAACACCGAUGGCGAAGGCAGGUCUCUGGGCCACUACUGACGUGGAGAAGCGAAAGCGUGGGGAGCAAACAGGAUUAGACUACC
rnacentral:rRNA from 1 species